CUUCCUUACAUUGGAGUUACUAUAAAUACUUGGAAAUCAUAUAUCAUUCUAUCAGUCAAAUAGUUGAGAUGAAGUUUAUUGUUUCCGUCCUUGUAAUUGUUCUCUUUAUCUAUCAAGUGAAAGGUCACUUUGACGAUGAUGAAGAUCAUGAGAUAGAGAAAAGAUCUGCCGAGCCUGGAUAUGGACAUCACAAAGGACACGGAGGUGGUCAUGGUGGAGGCUAUGGACAUCAUAAAGGGCAUGGAGGUGGUCAUGGUCACAAAGGACACGGAGGUGGUCAUGGUCACAAAGGACACGGAGGUGGUCAUGGUGGAGGUUAUGGGCACAAAGGACAUGGAGGUGGUCAUGGAGGUGGCUAUGGCCACGGUCAUGGUGGAGGCUAUGGACAUCAUUAAAUAUACCACUAAUAAAUGCCUUGUCAUCAAAUAAAAGCCUGACUGACACACGUACAGGGAUAAAAAUAUGAUUUUGUUGUGAUAUUUU
rnacentral:misc_RNA from 1 species